CAGUCGCCGCGGUAAUACGAGGGGUGCAAGCGUUAUUCGGAUUGAUUGGGUGUAAAGGGCGUGCAGACGGCUUAUUAAGUCACUUGUUAAAUUCUUCGGCCUAACUGAAGGUCUGCAAGUGAUACUGAUGAGCUAGAGGGUGGAAGAGAGAAGUGGAAUUCUCGGAGUAGCGGUAAAAUGCGUAGAUCUCGAGAGGAACACCAAUGGCGAAGGCAGCUUCUUGGUCCAUUCCUGACGUUCAUACACGAAAGCGUGGGGAGCAAACAGGAUUAGAUACCCCCGUAGUCCCUGUCUCUUAUAC
rnacentral:rRNA from 1 species